rnacentral:rRNA from 1 species
UAGGGAAUAUUGCACAAUGGGCGAAAGCCUGAUGCAGCAACGCCGCGUGCGCGAAGAAGGCCUUCGGGUUGUAAAGCGCUUUUCUGGGAGAUGAGGAAGGACAGUAUCCCAGGAAUAAGGCUCGGCUAACUACGUGCCAGCAGCCGCGGUAAAACGUAGGAGCCAAGCGUUAUCCGAAUUCACUGGGCGUAAAGCGCGUGCAGGCGGCCUGAUAAGUUGGAUGUGAAAUCUCCUGGCUCAACUGGGAGAGGCCGUUCAAUACUGUUGGGCUCGAGGGCGACAGAGGGAGGUGGAAUUCCGGGUGUAGUGGUGAAAUGCGUAGAUAUCCGGAGGAACACCAGAGGCGAAGGCGACCUCCUGGGUCGUACCUGACGCUCAGACGCGAAAGCUAGGGGAGCGAACGG